rnacentral:pre_miRNA from 1 species
UCUUAUGGAGGAGCAAAGAAAGUGGCUUCCUGAGAUGGAAACUAUUUCCAGUGAAGCCACUGGGAA